AUUAGGUUUGCUCUUCCCCAUUCAAUAUUCAUCAUCACUUUCAUUUUUUUUUUCUCUUCGUCCCUUCCCAAAACCCUUUUUUUUCUCUGUUCUUUCGUUAUGGCGCAUCAAAUUUCCUUCCCAUUUCAUGUAAACCCAAAUGCAAACAAAGCAAGUGACCUCAUCUUUUCCUCUAAAUCUCGAAGCUGGGGCAACACUACCUUUCCUUUCUCCUUCGCCUGAUUCUUUCAAGAACACAAGCACUGCUAUUUCUAGAACCUGGCUUUGAAUCCUUCGAAGGUACAACCAUAGUACUUCUUUCGUGUUCGUUUGAGUCGUUGAACCAGCAGCAGUCUCUUCUCCUUAGCCUAACAGUCGAACAACCUGUAACAAUCUCCUAUUUCAACGGAGACGAUAUCAUCGAGGAACCCUUCUAGUUGAAAGCUAUGGAUGAGACUUGACUCCUUGAAGCGACGCUAUUGGCGAAUUGGUACCUGUCGGGAAUAGCAGAGGUGAUUAGAGUAUUCUUGAAAGAUAUUUUGAAUUUGUGUAUGUGUUAAAGUUGCAGUGUCUGUGUUGGGUUUAGUAAGUGUAUAGUAGAUUUGGUUAUGUUGAUUAUUUUGGACCUUUAUAUUUAAUUGUAUGACUAUUUUGGACUCUGGUUUA